rnacentral:rRNA from 1 species
AAUUCGAAGCAACGCGAAGAACCCUACCAGGUCUUGACAUCCCCUGACAACCCAAGAGGAUUCGGGCGGUUCCCCUUCGGGGGACAGGGUGACAGGUGGUGCAUGGUUGCCGUCAGCUCGUGUCGUGAGAUGUUGGGUUAAGUCCCGCAACGAGCGCAACCCUCGCCUCUAGUUGCCAGCAUUCGGUUGGGCACUCUAGAGGGACUGCCGGCUAAAAGUCGGAGGAAGUGGGGAUGACGUCAAAUCAUCAUGCCCCUUAUGACCUGGGCUACACACGUGCUACAAUGGGCGGUACAAAGGGUCGCGAGCCCGCGAGGGGGAGCCAAUCCCAAAAAGCCGCUCUCAGUUCGGAUUGCAGGCUGCAACUCGCCUGCAUGAAGCCGGAAUCGCUAGUAAUCGCGGAUCAGCAUGCCGCGGUGAAUACGUUCCCGGGCCUU